CACGUGAGUAACCUGCCCCUGACUCUGGGAUAAGCGUUGGAAACGACGUCUAAUACUGGAUAUGAUCACUGGCCGCAUGGUCUGGUGGUGGAAAGAUUUUUUGGUUGGGGAUGGACUCGCGGCCUAUCAGCUUGUUGGUGAGGUAAUGGCUCACCAAGGCGACGACGGGUAGCCGGCCUGAGAGGGUGACCGGCCACACUGGGACUGAGACACGGCCCAGACUCCUACGGGAGGCAGCAGUGGGGAAUAUUGCACAAUGGGCGAAAGCCUGAUGCAGCAACGCCGCGUGAGGGAUGACGGCCUUCGGGUUGUAAACCUCUUUUAGUAGGGAAGAAGCGAAAGUGACGGUACCUGCAGAAAAAGCACCGGCUAACUACGUGCCAGCAGCCGCGGUAAUACGUAGGGUGCAAGCGUUGUCCGGAAUUAUUGGGCGUAAAGAGCUCGUAGGCGGUUUGUCGCGUCUGCUGUGAAAUCCCGAGGCUCAACCUCGGGCUUGCAGUGGGUACGGGCAGACUAGAGUGCGGUAGGGGAGAUUGGAAUUCCUGGUGUAGCGGUGGAAUGCGCAGAUAUCAGGAGGAACACCGAUGGCGAAGGCAGAUCUCUGGGCCGUAACUGACGCUGAGGAGCGAAAGCAUGGGGAGCGAACAGGAUUAGAUACCCUGGUAGUCCAUGCCGUAAACGUUGGGCGCUAGAUGUAGGGACCUUUCCACGGUUUCUGUGUCGUAGCUAACGC
rnacentral:rRNA from 1 species